UACGGGGGGGCGGAAGCGUGUUCGGAAUUACUGGGCGUAAAGGGCUCGUAGGCGGCCAACUAAGUCAGACGUGAAAUCCCUCGGCUUAACCGGGGAACUGCGUCUGAUACUGGAUGGCUUGAGUUUGGGAGAGGGAUGCGGAAUUCCAGGGUGUAGCGGGUGAAAAUGCGUAGAUAUCUGGAGGAACACCGGUGGCGAAGGCGGCAAUCCUGGACCAUAACUGACGCUGAGGCGCGAAAGCUAGGGGAGCAACAGG
rnacentral:rRNA from 1 species